rnacentral:rRNA from 1 species
UACGUAGGUGGCAAGCGUUAUCCGGAAUUACUGGCGUAAAGCGCACGCAGGCGGUCUUUUAAGUUUGACGUGAAAGCUCCCGGCUUAACUGGGAGAGGUCGUUGAAUACUGGAAGACUUGAGGAAAUGAGAGGGGUGUAGAAUUCCUGGUGUAGUGGUGGAAUGCGUAGAUAUCAGGAGGAAUACCAGUGGCGAAAGCGGCACCCUAGCAUUUUUCUGACGCUCAUGUGCGAAAGCGUGGGGAGCGAACGGG